rnacentral:rRNA from 1 species
CGGAGCCUAAUACAUGCAAGUCGAGCGGACAGAUGGGAGCUUGCUCCCUGAUGUUAGCGGCGGACGGGUGAGUAACACGUGGGUAACCUGCCUGUAAGACUGGGAUAACUCCGGGAAACCGGGGCUAAUACCGGAUGGUUGUUUGAACCGCAUGGUUCAAACAUAAAAGGUGGCUUCGGCUACCACUUACAGAUGGACCCGCGGCGCAUUAGCUAGUUGGUGAGGUAACGGCUCACCAAGGCAACGAUGCGUAGCCGACCUGAGAGGGUGAUCGGCCACACUGGGACUGAGACACGGCCCAGACUCCUACGGGAGGCAGCAGUAGGGAAUCUUCCGCAAUGGACGAAAGUCUGACGGAGCAACGCCGCGUGAGUGAUGAAGGUUUUCGGAUCGUAAAGCUCUGUUGUUAGGGAAGAACAAGUACCGUUCAAAUAGGGCGGUACCUUGACGGUACCUAACCAGAAAGCCACGGCUAACUACGUGCCAGCAGCCGCGGUAAUACGUAGGUGGCAAGCGUUGUCCGGAAUUAUUGGGCGUAAAGGGCUCGCAGGCGGUUUCUUAAGUCUGAUGUGAAAGCCCCCGGCUCAACCGGGGAGGGUCAUUGGAAACUGGGGAACUUGAGUGCAGAAGAGGAGAGUGGAAUUCCACGUGUAGCGGUGAAAUGCGUAGAGAUGUGGAGGAACACCAGUGGCGAAGGCGACUCUCUGGUCUGUAACUGACGCUGAGGAGCGAAAGCGUGGGGAGCGAACAGGAUUAGAUACCCUGGUAGUCCACGCCGUAAACGAUGAGUGCUAAGUGUUAGGGGGUUUCCGCCCCUUAGUGCUGCAGCUAACGCAUUAAGCACUCCGCCUGGGGAGUACGGUCGCAAGACUGAAACUCAAAGGAAUUGACGGGGGCCCGCACAAGCGGUGGAGCAUGUGGUUUAAUUCGAAGCAACGCGAAGAACCUUACCAGGUCUUGACAUCCUCUGACAAUCCUAGAGAUAGGACGUCCCCUUUCGGGGGGCAGAGUGACAUGUGGUGCAUGGGUUGUCGUCAGCUCGUGUCGUGAGAUGUAGGGAUAAGUCCCGCAACGAGCGCAACCAUGAUCUAGUUGCCAGCAUUCAGCUGGCACUCUAGUGAACUGCCGGUGACAAGCCGGAAGUAUGGGUGGGGGAU